rnacentral:rRNA from 1 species
UACAGAGGGUGCGAGCGUUAAUCGGAUUUACUGGGCGUAAAGCGUGUGUAGGCGGUUUGUUAAGUCGGGUGUGAAAUCCCUGGGCUCAACCUGGGAAUUGCAUUCGAUACUGGCAAGCUAGAGUACGGUAGAGGGCGGCGGAAUUCCGGGUGUAGUGGUGAAAUGCGUAGAUAUCGGGAGGAACACCAGUGGCGAAGGCGACUACCUGGCCUGUUCUUGACGCUGAGGCGCGAAAGCUAGGGGAGCAAACGGG